rnacentral:lncRNA from 1 species
CACACUUUUGCACCUCUGUGCAGCCUACAAAGUAAACAUCAUUCAUGUCUAACUUCUUCACAGAAAUAUCCUUCCUACUAUAUUGGAUAUAUCUUCAAAACUCUACUCAAGAAUUACUUCUGGUGUGAAGCUGUCCAUGAAUGAGACUACUUGGCUACCUGUGUCUAAUUGUAUUUAGGAGAGGGAUGCUUGUUCUGUUCCCCAGACUGGGAAAAUUUUCAUCCAGGAUUUAUUCAACUAUAUCUUCUAGUCUUCUCUCUGAAAAAUGAGUUUACUGAUUUGGACAACCUGAUAAAUCCCACUUCCC